AGUGAACGCUGGCGGUAGGCCUAACACAUGCAAGUCGAACGGCAGCACAGUAAGAGCUUGCUCUUACGGGUGGCGAGUGGCGGACGGGUGAGGAAUACAUCGGAAUCUACUUUUUCGUGGGGGAUAACGUAGGGAAACUUACGCUAAUACCGCAUACGACCUACGGGUGAAAGCAGUGGAUCUUCGGACCUUGCGCGAUUGAAUGAGCCGAUGUCGGAUUAGCUAGUGGGCGGGGUAAAGGCCCACCAGGGCGACGAUCCGUAGCUGGUCUGAGAGGAUGAUCGGCCAAACUGGAACUGGGCACCGGUCCAGACUCCUCCGGGAGGCAGCAGUGGGGAAUAUUGGACAAGGGGCGCAAGCCUGCUCCAGCCAUACCGCGUGGGUGAAGAAGGCCUUCGAGUUGUAAAGCCCUUUUGUUGCGAAAGAAAAGCAGCAGGUUAAUACCCCGCUGUUCUGACGGUACCAAAAGAAUAAGCACCGGCUACCUUCGU
rnacentral:rRNA from 1 species